rnacentral:rRNA from 1 species
GAUGAACGCUGGCGGCGUGCCUAAUACAUGCAAGUCGAGCGAACAGACGAGGAGCUUGCUCCUCUGACGUUAGCGGCGGACGGGUGAGUAACACGUGGAUAACCUACCUAUAAGACUGGGAUAACUUCGGGAAACCGGAGCUAAUACCGGAUAACAUGUUGAACCGCAUGGUUCAACAGUGAAAGACGGUUUUGCUGUCACUUAUAGAUGGAUCUGCGUCGCAUUAGCUAGUUGGUAAGGUAACGGCUUACCAAGGCAACGAUGCGUAGCCGACCUGAGAGGGGGAUCGGCCCCACGGGAACUGAGACACGGUCCAGACUCCUACGGGAGGCAGCAGUAGGGAAUCUUCCGCAAUGGGCGAAAGCCUGACGGAGCAACGCCGCGUGAGUGAAGAAGGUCUUCGGAUCGUAAAACUCUGUUAUUAGGGAAGAACAAAUGUGUAAGUAACUAUGCACGUCUUGACGGUACCUAAUCAGAAAGCCACGGCUAACUACGUG